GAUGAACGCUGGCGGCGUGCCUAAUACAUGCAAGUCGAGCGAACAGACGAGGAGCUUGCUCCUCUGACGUUAGCGGCGGACGGGUGAGUAACACGUGGAUAACCUACCUAUAAUACUGGGAUAACUUCGGGAAACCGGAGCUAAUACCGGAUAAUAUAUUGAACCGCAUGGUUCAAUAGUGAAAGACGGUUUUGCGGUCACGUAUAGAUGGAUCCGCGCCGCAUUAGCUAGUUGGUAAGGUAACGGCUUACCAAGGCAACGAUGCGUAGCCGACCUGAGAGGGUGAUCGGCCACACUGGCACUGUGACACGGUCCAGACUCCUACGGGAGGCAGCAGUAGGGAAUCUUCCGCAAUGGGCGAAAGCCUGACGGAGCAACGCCGCGUGAGUGAUGAAGGUCUUCGGAUCGUAAAACUCUGUUAUUAGGGAAGAACAAAUGUGUAAGUAACUAUGCACGUCUUGACGGUACCUAAUCAGAAAGCCACGGCUAACUACGUG
rnacentral:rRNA from 1 species